rnacentral:rRNA from 1 species
AUUGAACGCUGGCGGCAUGCUUUACACAUGCAAGUCGAACGGCAGCGCGGGCUUCGGCCUGGCGGCGAGUGGCGAACGGGUGAGUAAUAUAUCGGAACGUACCCAAGAGUGGGGAUAACGUAGCGAAAGUUACGCUAAUACCGCAUACGAUCUAAGGAUGAAAGCAGGGGAUCGCAAGACCUUGUGCUCCUGGAGCGGCCGAUAUCUGAUUAGCUAGUUGGUGGGGUAAAGGCCCACCAAGGCAACGAUCAGUAGCUGGUCUGAGAGGACGACCAGCCACACUGGAACUGAGACACGGUCCAGACUCCUACGGAGGCAGCAGUGGGGAAUUUUGGACAAUGGGGGCAACCCUGAUCCAGCAAUGCCGCGUGAGUGAAGAAGGCCU